UACAGAGGUCCUAAGCGUUGUUCGGAUUUACUGGGCGUAAAGGGUGCGUAGGUGGUGAGGUAAGUCUGAUGUGAAAUCUCCGAGCUCAACUCGGAAAUGGCAUUGGAAACUACCUUGCUAGAGGGUUGGAGGGGGGACUGGAAUACUUGGUGUAGCAGUGAAAUGCGUAGAUAUCAAGUGGAACACCAGUGGCGAAGGCGAGUCCCUGGACAACUCCUGACACUGAGGCACGAAAGCUAGGGGAGCAAACAGG
rnacentral:rRNA from 1 species